rnacentral:rRNA from 1 species
AACGAACGCUGGCGGCAUGCCUAACACAUGCAAGUCGAACGAGAUCUUCGGGUCUAGUGGCGCACGGGUGCGUAACGCGUGGGAAUCUGCCCUUUGGUUCGGAAUAACAGUUGGAAACGACUGCUAAUACCGGAUGAUGACGAAAGUCCAAAGAUUUAUCGCAAGAGGAUGAGCCCGCGUAGGAUUAGCUAGUUGGUGUGGUAAAGGCGCACCAAGGCGACGAUCCUUAGCUGGUCUGAGAGGAUGAUAAGCCACACUGGGACUGAGACACGGCCCAGACUCCUACGGGAGGCAGCAGUGUGGAAUAUUGGACAAUGGGCGAAAGCCUGAGCCAGCAAUGCCGCGUGAGUGAUGAAGGCCUUAGGGUUGUAAAGCUCUUUUACCCGGGAUGAUAAUGACAGUACCGGGAGAAUAAGCUCCGGCUAACUCCGUGCCAGCCGCCGCCGUAA